ACAAAAUCAAAGCUUCUAACUCUUCUGUGACAGGAACUUACUUAAGAAAAGACUUUUUUUACCACUGAUAUUGCUGAGACCCCUCAGCUGUGGGAUGUUUGAGGAAAGAACCUGGGGUAAUUUGGCAUCAAGAAGGUGGUACAAAUAGGGCUAAGUCCCCAAAGCAUCCCUGCCAGACCUUCUGAGCCCUGGAUGCCUCACUGUGAUUCUGCUCACUCCCAUCUCCUUUUUCCCCUCAUAAAAGCGAGCUUAGUUUUUUCUCUCCACAUACUCACAUUUUCUGUUGAUGUUUCAUGAAUUUCUAAGUGCUCAGGAAAAAAUAAAAUAGGAAAAAGAAAAGAAAAGCAAACAAUCAGCACUGUGCUGUGGGCAGCUGGAAAUGGUGAUCAAUCAGCACAAUGGGGUGAGUACAGACAUCAGCCCCAGGUGUGAGAGUCCAACAUACCCUUGGCUGAGAGCUGCUGCCCUGGUUUGAGUGCAGAGCUGAGUGUGCUGCUGAGAUACACUGGUUUUGCUGGUUUCCUGCUUCUGUCUGCUCUUGCUGUACGUCUGAAAAUGGAAUUCCUGUCUCUUUCAGCCUGCUGAAUACAGAGCCAAUUACAAAAGGCUGGUGGGUGACUUGAGCCACUAGAGCAGGGUGGAAGUCUGCGAAGGUGUUUUGUACCCAGCAAGAUCUGCAGCAGAGCUGAGGGAGGGAAGCCCUUCACCUGAGCCCUAUCCCUGCUAUCGAGGCACAUCUUGACUCAGCUCCACAAGGCUCUGAAAUAGUCCAAAACAGGAGGACGGGCAUUCAGUCAAAGCAAGGAUUGCAGGAAAUGUCAGAUGUGUGAGCUGUUACCUCGUAGGGCUGAAACCCUUGGAAGGUCCUUGGCUGGAGAAAGGGAGUAGCUAUUGGAAGGUGACAUGGAUGCCUUCUUGGAGUUGCUCCCAAGUGGCCUUUAUCUGGGACAGAAAGAGGAAUAAUAACUGCAAGCAAAGAUACCACCCAAUUGGAUGGCCCUGUUGUGUGACAGCAACCUAUCGCUGAUUGAAGCAGGGGGUUUACAAGGCCUUGUCUCUGUACCCAAAUCCAUUAUUCUUGAAACAACAUGACAAAACAUUAUAAAGUUCUAUUGAUUGCCCUCUGUUGAAUAACAAUGGGCCCUAAGAAUCAUUCUGGAUUACUUAAUGAUGUGUAACUCAGCUUAGCAAAGCUUCAUGGAACAUAACUGUUAUUACGGCUCUUCAACCCUUGUUCUUGCAGUGUUGGCCAACCUCUGGCCUCAGAGUCCCUCAUGGUGGAUGGUGGUGAGGUAGACCGUUUAUUAUGGUUCUCUGAGCUCAUUUAAGUCCUUAUGUCCACACUGUCUCCUUGCUCCUAGAAGGAUGUCAUAAAGCACCCAGAGAGGCUUGGGGCAGGGGCAGGCUACAUCCACCU
rnacentral:lncRNA from 1 species